ACAAAUACAUAAAAUAUAUAAACACGGAGGAAGGAUUAGUUGUCGUGAGAGAAUGUUGAACCCAUCCGUUUCUUGUGUGUACAUUCACAUCUCUUCCAUCCUUCAUCUCCACUGAUUUCCUUUACACUGGGAAACUACGAUAGUGCACACUGCUGUAUGUACAUAUGGGCAGAGGAGGAAAGGAUUUAAUAUUUGUGAUGGGUGGAAAAAGUGAAAAAAAGUUGCGAGGAAACAAAUUGUGUAUGGUCCAAAAGAAACGUUUCAUAUCUCUCCAUUUUCCGUGUAUCCUUUCUUCAGCAAAGUGAAGGAGUGAGUGAAACUACGCAAUAAGUCUGCAAAACGAAGAUGAUGUUCCUCUGCCGCAGGACUAUUAGUCCCAUGCACUACUAGAAAGGAGCAAGAAGUCGCUCAUUCGGAACAGGGAGAGUGUGUAGUCGCAGGAGAAAGUUUUUUUUCUUCCUCUUCAUGAACAAUAAGUGGGGCAAAAGACAGGUCCUAUACGGAUGCAACAUUAUAGUCGUUUGGUUUCCCGGCUGUAAAGCGAAUUGCUGUGAAAUAAAUCUUACCGGUCUUCUCUCCAACAGCAGUAUAAUUGGAUUUAGCUUCGCCUUAGGUCUAAAAUGCGCUCUCAGAGUCGUAAGCUGUUCGGUUGGGACAAUGUUCACAAGCCUACGGACAUACCAAAGGAAAUAUUAACAAUGUGAUCGUGUGAAGUGUAACACUCCGAUUUUGUUGAAAUUUUGGAAUUACGAAGUUCAAGUCAGUACAACCAACGUUUGUUAAGGCAGUUUGUGCGAUGGUUGGAAUUUGUCAACAUAUUUUAGAUCAAAGUAGUAAAAAUUGGCGAUUUUUAUCUGGCGGAGAAAGCAAACUUCAAUUCCACUCUA